CUCUGCCUCGAGCGCCUCCUCCUCCCACUCCAGCGCCGCCGCUACCCUCGGCCCCCUCUCUCUAUCCAGUGAUGUCGCCUCUCCUCCCCUGUACGUGCGCCACCGCCCCUCCGCCUCCUCCUACCUGUCACCGUCUCGCCGCUGCAGCCGUCCCCAAGGUCCAUGGUGGGGAUGGAGCAACGAGGCCGGAGACCCAGGCGACGGAUGCCUCAUGGGUAGAGGGGAGGUUGACAAUAUGGACAAGGAGCAACGGUGUCAUAUGGAUCUGCAGGGAGGCAUCUUCGAGGGAUGGCUGGUGUCAAUAUUUGUGUUGGUAUGCCCUACAUAUCGGUUUCAUCGCCCAAGCACCUUCUGCGGAAAGAAAGAAAAAGGC